rfam:Streptomyces sp. NRRL F-6602 F6602contig1840.1, whole genome shotgun sequence.
GACAGGUCGACACCGAGUGGAUCGGCAGGAGUGGAGGACCCAGGCACGGCGGGCCCAGGAGACCGGCGACGGACUCCGGGGGCCCUUGGGGUGAAGCCGCCGCGGCGGCCGGGCGACUUCGCAGGUCCGAACCCGACAGGUCAUCCUUCACAGGCGGCUGACGAAGGGUUA